rfam:Salmo salar isolate Sally breed double haploid chromosome ssa24, whole genome shotgun sequence.
UGCAACCAUGACUGCAAGUUGCUUUGGCUGAAAGUAUCUGCUAAAUGGCAUAUA